GUUCAAGGUCCUCUAUCCCCA
rnacentral:tRNA from 1 species